rnacentral:tRNA from 1 species
GCGGGAGUGGCGAAAUUGGUAGACGCACCAGAUUUAGGUUCUGGCGCCGCAAGGUGUGCGAGUUCAAGUUUCGCCCCCCGCACCA